rnacentral:sRNA from 1 species
UGAAAAACUGUCCAGGUAACCGGAGC